CCAUACUACACUAGAUACGCAAAAGAAGAACGAAUCAACGUUAUGUUACAGGAAUACGACACGAUUUUUAAUAUGACGAUGUCAUAUAGAGGAGAUUCUGACAUAGUUAAUAAAUAUGGGAUAUGGCAGAAAGAUAUGUUAAAAACAAUACAGCCAUUUUCUUUGAAAAAUAAAACGAACUUAGCUAUUAUGCUGGCAAGCGAAUGCUGGAGAGCUGGGGCCCAAUUGAGAAUAAAAUUGUCGGAUGCACUUGUGAAAAAGGACUGAAUUUAACACGAUAUGGGAAAUGCUUUGAGUCGCGAUACGAAGGGACAUAACAAAACUACUUUAUCAAUAUAAAUUUUUCAUGUCGUUUGAGAAUAGUAUACACUGUAAAGACUAUAUAACUGAAAAAUUUUGGGUGAAUUUUUUAUGGAAUGGCGUGGUGCCCGUUGUUUGGGGGCCACUAAAAGAAGAUAUCGUUCGUGUAGCCCCACCGAAUUCCUUUAUUUUUGUCGACGACUUCAAGUCAUUGAAAGAUUUAGUUAAUACUUGAAUUAUUUGGAUAAAAAUGAUGAUGAAUAUGUAAAGUAUUUUGCAUGGCGUAAUCUGGAACCUCCUGAACGACAACCUCACAUUUUCUGUGCGUGUAAGAAAAUGAAACUGGUUAAUGAAAAAUUGUGCAGAUUAUGUAGAAUCGUGACCGAUGGUGCGAAAGGAAAACCGAACUUACGUUUAAGUAAAUGGUGGUACGGUGGCGAGAAUCCUGACUGUCUUCAGAACAAUCUUACACAAUUGGAAUUGAAUUUUAACAAACAAUACGGCAUCAAAUAACAGAGAAGAUUUGCAGUUUGAACCUCUCCAAGUUAUAGCAUAUAGUUAACUGUAGCGUGUGACUCCUAAAUAUUGGAAAUAAUUUAGAUAUAAAAUUUGCGAUCCCACGAAAUACCGCCACCAAGCCCUGCACCUGGUGGCGGUUAAUGGUUAGUAGUCAUUUCAGAGCGAAUGAAAUCUUAUCUAAACGUGGUGAAUAUUUGUUUGAAGUGUGGUCUUGUUUUCGUAACUAAGUAGUAGGCCCGUUUGAGAUAUAGCACAGAACUCGAUUUGCAUCUUAAGUUCUGAGCAAGUGAUAAAAAACAUUUACUAAACGGCAUGAACUGCUACGUUUUCUUGGUAAAUUGCGUUAAUUAACAUUCAAAAUGUUUUUUUUAUUAAAUCUGAUCUU